rnacentral:tRNA from 1 species
CUUUAUAGCUUAUCUCAAGAGCACUUUACUGAAGAUAAAGAGGUCUAAAUA